rnacentral:rRNA from 1 species
UGGGGAAUAUUGGACAAUGGGCGCAAGCCUGAUCCAGCGAUGCCGCGUGUGUGAAGAAGGCCUGCGGGUUGUAAAGCACUUUUUAGCGAGGACGAGGUUUUAGGGGGUUAAUAGGUCUCUAAGAUGACGGUACUCGCAGAAAAAGCACCGGCUAACUCUGUGCCAGCAGCCGCGGUAAUACAGAGGGUGCAAGCGUUAAUCGGAAUGACUGGGCGUAAAGCGCGCGUAGGUGGUUUGUUAAGUUGGAUGUGAAAUCCCCGGGCUCAACCUGGGAACUGCAUUCAAAACUGACUGACUAGAGUAUGGUAGAGGGUGGUGGAAUUUCCUGUGUAGCGGUGAAAUGCGUAGAUAUAGGAAGGAACACCAGUGGCGAAGGCGACCACCUGGACUGAUACUGACACUGAGGUGCGAAAGCGUGGGGAGCAAACAGGAUUAGAUACCCCGGUAGUCCCUGAGCGGGCUGGCAAGGCGCAU